AUUGAACGCUGGCGGCAGGCCUAACACAUGCAAGUCGAGCGAGCGGCGGACGGGUGAGUAAUGUAUGGGGACUGCCCGAUAGAGGGGGAUAACUACUGGAAACGGUAGCUAAUACCGCAUCCUAUCGGAUAACCCAUUGGGGAUUGGCUAGUAGGUGAGGUAAUGGCUCACCUAGGCGACGAUCCCUAGCUGGUCUGCGAGGAUGAUCAGCCCCCCUGGGACGUAGACACGGCCCAGACUCCUACGGAGGCAGCAGUGGGGAAUAUUGCACAAUGGGCGCAAGCCUGAUGCAGCCAUGCCGCGUGUAUGAAGAAGGCCCUAGGGUUGUAAAGUACUUUCAGUCGGGAGGCGUUACCGACAGAAGAAGCACCGGCUAACUCCGUGCCAGCCGCCGCGGUAAUUC
rnacentral:rRNA from 1 species